UCGAUCGGUCGUCGCGCCAUCCGUCCCUCGAUGCGGCGAUCGGUUCACAGGCACGUCCUGCGGAGACGCGUCGCCUCAUCCGAGGCGGCGCGUC
rnacentral:sRNA from 1 species